GACGAACGCUGGCGGCGUGCUUAACACAUGCAAGUCGAACGGACCCUUUGGGGUUAGUGGCGAACGGGUGAGUAACACGUGGGUGAUCUGCCCUGCACUUUGGGAUAAGCCUGGGAAACUGGGUCUAAUACCGGAUAGGACUACGCACUGCAUGGUGUGUGGUGGAAAGCUUUUGCGGUGUGGGAUGGGCCCGCGGCCUAUCAGCUUGUUGGUGGGGUGAUGGCCUACCAAGGCGACGACGGGUAGCCGGCCUGAGAGGGUGACCGGCCACACUGGGACUGAGAUACGGCCAAGACUCAUACGGGAGGCAUGAGUGGGGAAUAUGGCACAAUGGGCGCAAGCCUGAUGCAGCGACGCCGCGUGAGGGAUGACGGCCUUCGGGUUGUAAACCUCUUUCGCCAGGGACGAAGCGCAAGUGACGGUACCUGGAGAAGAAGGACCGGCCAACUACGUGCCAGCCGCCGCAGUAAAAC
rnacentral:rRNA from 1 species